UACCGAGGUCUCAAGCGUUGUUCGGAUUCAUUGGGCGUAAAGGGUGUGUAGGUGGCGCGCUAAGUCGGGUGUGAAAUUUCGGAGCUUAACUCCGAAACUGCAUUCGAUACUGGCGUGCUUGAGGACUGGAGAGGAGACUGGAAUUUACGGUGUAGCGGUGAAAUGCGUAGAUAUCGUAAGGAAGACCAGUGGCGAAGGCGGGUCUCUGGACAGUUCCUGACGCUGAGGCACGAAGGUCAGGGGAGCAAACGGG
rnacentral:rRNA from 1 species